UCGCGGCUUAUCACCGGCAGUCCCCUUAGAGUGCCCAACUGUAUGCUGGCAACUAAGGGCGAGGGUUGCGCUCGUUGCGGGACUUAACCCAACACCUCACGGCACGAGCUGACGACAGCUAUGCAGCAUCUGUGCGCGCUCCCUUGCGGGUCCUCGGCCUUUCGGCUCCGUACCACGCGCAUGUCAAGCCCAGGUAAGGUUCUUCGCGUUGCGUCGAAUUAAACCACACGCUCCGCUGCUUGUGCGGGCCCCCGUCAAUUCCUUUGAGUUUUAGCCUUGCGGCCGUACUCCCCAGGCGGCGGACUUAGCGCGUUAGCUGCGACACGGAAGGGGUCGAUCCCACCCGCGUCUAGUGCCCAUCGUUUACGGCGUGGACUAC
rnacentral:misc_RNA from 1 species